UACAGAGGGUGCAAGCGUUGUUCGGAAUUAUUGGGCGUAAAGCGCGUGUAGGCGGCUUUGCAAGUCGGGUGUGAAAUCCCUCAGCUUAACUGAGGAAGUGCGCCCGAAACUGCAGAGCUUGAGUACCGGAGAGGAUGGUGGAAUUCCCCAAGUAGAGGUGAAAUUCGUAGAUAUGGGGAGGAACACCGGUGGCGAAGGCGACCAUCUGGACGGAUACUGACGCUGAGACGCGAAAGCGUGGGGAGCAAACAGG
rnacentral:rRNA from 1 species